rnacentral:rRNA from 1 species
UACGGAGGGUGCAAGCGUUAUCCGGAUUCACUGGGGUUAAAGGGUGCGUAGGUGGGCUGGUAAGUCAGUGGUGAAAUCUCCAGGCUUAACUUGGAAACUGCCAUUGAUACUAUCAGUCUUGAAUACCGUGGAGGUCAGCGGAAUAUGUCAUGUAGCGGUGAAAUGCUUAGAUAUGACAUAGAACACCAAUUGCGAAGGCAGCUGGCUACACGAAUAUUGACACUGAUGCACGAAAGCGUGGGGAUCAAACAGG